CAAAUUUAAAAUCUGGCAGUCUUUGGCUGUCCGAGUUGUAGUCUGGAGAAGUGCUUUCCGCGCUGGACCGUGUACAAGUCUCUUGGAAUAGAGCGUCAUAGAGGGUGAGAAUCCCGUCUUUGACACGGACUACCAGUGCUUUGUGAUGCGCUCUCAAAGAGUCGAGUUGUUUGGGAAUGCAGCUCAAAAUGGGUGGUAAAUUCCAUCUAAAGCUAAAUAUUGGCGAGAGACCGAUAGCGAACAAGUACCGUGAGGGAAAGAUGAAAAGCACUUUGGAAAGAGAGUUAAACAGUACGUGAAAUUGCUGAAAGGGAAACGAUUGAAGUCAGUCGCGUUGGCCAGAACUCAGCCUUGCUUUUGCUUGGUGCAUUUUCUGGUUAACGGGCCAGCAUCAAUUUUGACCGCUGGAUAAAGGUGGAGGGAAUGUGGCACCUUCGGGUGUGUUAUAGCCCUCUGUCACAUACAGCGGUUGGGAUUGAGGAACUCAGCACACCUUUAUGGUCGGGGUUCGCCCACGCUUGUGCUUAGGAUGCUGGCGUAAUGGCUUUAAACGACCCGUCUUGAAACACGGACCAAGGAGUCUAACAUGCCUGCGAGUAUUUGGGUGGAAAACCCGAGUGCGCAAUGAAAGUAAAAGUUAGGAUCUCUGUCAUGGAGAGCACUGACGCCCGGACCAGACCUUUUGUGACGGCUCCGCGGUAGAGCAUGUAUGUUGGGACCCGAAAGAUGGUGAACUAUGCCUGAAUAGGGUGAAGCCAGAGGAAACUCUGGUGGAGGCUCGUAGCGAUUCUGACGUGCAAAUCGAUCGUCAAAUUUGGGUAUAGGGGCGAAAGACUAAUCGA
rnacentral:rRNA from 1 species